UGAUAGAAUACAAGAUUGCGCCGUCCUGGCCGUUGACAUUUGUGUACCACUAGUAAACAAAGAAUAGAGACAAAAGUAGAACGAGUUCAAACUGUCAAAACAGUUCACUUUACAGCGAAAGUGGUGUUUUAAUUUUGAUCAAUGCGAGAAUAUUGCAUUUUUCAUCUAAUCUAUUGGAGAAUAGUGAACGUUUUAGUGCACUCCAUGCUUUGCAAUUAAGGCUGCUGCAGCAAACGUUUUAGUGUACUCCAUUGCUUUGCAAUUAAGGCUGGUGCAGCAAACUGCGCCAGCAUCUGAGUGGGAUUGAUUAGUUAACUUGCUAAAGGAGGCUGCUUGGAGCAGAACCGAUAUGAUUGUGAUAAAAUGCUGUAAAUAUAAUAAUAAAAAAACAUUUCGGCUUUGGCACGCCCUGUAUACACAAAAUGCAGCGAUUCGUCGCAGCGUUACAUUUGCAUCUACGCAUAAUGAGAUGGGGCACCAUGGCACACUUCAUGGAAGGACAACAGCGCGAAUCGGAGCCAUGCAGUGUGCAUGAGUGCAGUACUACCAACAGCUGUUCCUGCAAAUCGUGAAUAUCGUGAAGCAUCUGGAACGCAACUAUUAUUUCGUACCUUGGUCGUUUACGCAACAUACCUGAAGAGCUGGAACAAAGAUAUAAAUCACAGGGAUUGAUCCGGCCCAAUAAAUAUGCAGGGAAAACUUUUGCUUUUUGUCGCAGGCGAAUCGAGAAAAUCUACUUUCCUCAAAGAGAUGCGUAUAAUACGCGGCAUUAUUUAUGAACUCGACCUUUUUCCAGAAUACAGUGAGAAGUGAUAUAUCAAAAUGUAUUACGAGGAAAGCACGUAUUGAUUGAUGCUCGUCAAAAACUGGGAAUCCCAUAGGGAAACACCGAACAAGAAACAAUGCGAAAUAGGCGAAAUUAAUUGAAUGUA